rnacentral:rRNA from 1 species
UACAGAGGGGGCAAGCGUUAUUCGGAAUUAUUGGGCGUAAAGUGCGCGUAGGCGGCAUGGCAAGUGGAAGGUGAAAUCCCUCGGCUCAACUGAGGAACUGCCCUCCAAACUGCUUUGCUUGAGUCCGGGAGAGGUGAGUGGAACUGCGAGUGUAGAGGUGAAAUUCGUAGAUAUUCGCAAGAACACCAGUGGCGAAGGCGGCUCACUGGCCCGAUACUGACGCUGAGGCACGAAAGCGUGGGGAGCAAACAGG